CCUACGGGUGGCAGCAGUGGGGAAUAUUGGACAAUGGGGGGAACCCUGAUCCAGCGACGCCGCGUGAGUGAAGAAGUAUUUCGGUAUGUAAAGCUCUAUCAGCAGGGAAGAAAGAAAUGACGGUACCUGACUAAGAAGCCCCGGCUAACUACGUGCCAGCAGCCGCGGUAAUACGUAGGGGGCAAGCGUUAUCCGGAUUUACUGGGUGUAAAGGGAGCGUAGACGGCGAUGCAAGUCUGAAGUGAAAGGCGGGGGCUCAACCCCCGGACUGCUUUGGAAACUGUAUGGCUGGAGUGCAGGAGAGGUAAGUGGAAUUCCUUGUGUAGCGGUGAAAUGCGUAGAUAUUAGGAGGAACACCAGUGGCGAAGGCGGCUUACUGGACUGUAACUGACGUUGAGGCUCGAAAGCGUGGGGAGCAAACAGGAUUAGAUACCCGAGUAGUC
rnacentral:rRNA from 1 species